ensembl:processed_transcript
UAUUAUAGUUAUUUAAGUAUUUAUUUUAAUUUUGAAAAAUUAUAUUGUAUGGCUUUAUCACGUCUUGCAUAAUUUUAUCAUGGCCCUUUCUACACCAAGCCUUUCAAAACAAAUGAUAAAUCACAGAAUUAAUCUCCAGAAUAAUUCCUAAAUAAUACUUUAAUCAACCAAUUUAUUAAAGGUUCAGAUGAUACUUUGGGCCAGUGGAUAAAACAAUGGAUGAUCAGCAUGGAUGGCAGAGUAAUCUGUGAGGGUGAGCAUGCACACUGGAAUUCCUUCAAAGAUGCUUUGCUGGCAUAAAUCCAGAGAGGGGAACCAAGGCUGUGAGAGGAAAUGUGAUGUCAAAAAAAACUGGCAAGACAGUUCAGAAGAAGACCAUGACUGAAAACCCCAAGGUUUCAAACCUUUUAAAGACACUAAUGGACUUUGAAUGGGACUUUAUUUAAAAUGCAGC